rnacentral:rRNA from 1 species
GAGUUUGAUCCUGGCUCAAGAUGAACGCUAGCGGCAGGCUUAACACAUGCAAGUCGAGGGGCAGCAUAAUGGAUAGCAAUAUCUAUGGUGGCGACCGGCGCACGGGUGCGUAACGCGUAUGCAACCUACCUUUAACAGGGGGAUAACACUGAGAAAUUGGUACUAAUACCCCAUAAUAUCAUAGAAGGCAUCUUUAUGGUUGAAAAUUCCGAUGGUUAGAGAUGGGCAUGCGUUGUAUUAGCUAGUUGGUGGGGUAACGGCUCACAAGGCGACGAUACAUAGGGGGACUGAGAGGUUAACCCCCCNACUGGUACUGAGACACGGACCAGACUCCUACGGGAGCA